CUGAGUGUGUGUGUGUUCCUUCAUUUGGCUGUUUGGUUUUUAGCUUCCGUGUUUGCUUAUCGCGUUCCUCCGUGAAUUUCUCAGUCGACGAGCAUGUCAGCCACCCCCGGGGCGCUCUGUGGGCCUCAGAGCUUGACAUGAGAUGCCCGGGAGCGACUCGCGUCCAGGAGGUGGUGGAAACUUACACUGGAGUGUUCCUGAGAGCUGGGCAUUUCUGGACAGUUUAGCGGUUAGCACAGAUCAGUUUCUCAGUUAAUCCCAUGUUCAAAUUUUAGCUCUGGCAUGUAAUUGCUGUAAGAUCUUGGGGAAAUACAUAGCCUUUCCAAGCCUUGUUUCCUUUGGCUACAAAACAGAUAAUUAUAGCUCCUCUGUCUCCAACUGUAGAUCAUGAUAAAUAUCCAAAAAAAAAAAAAAAAAAAGAAUAUAUGGGAGUGUUUUAUGAGUGGCGGAGUAAGUGGAAACACUGCCCAGUCUGGAGUGCACAUUCAUUUGUCCUGCGCGUGUUCUGAGGACCAGAGACAGGCCUGCGCCAGCCCGUGCUCUAGGAGGGCACGCAAGGUGGCCCUUCCCUGGGCUGUGGGGUCUGGGCCUGGCUGCUGAGGUGUGGGGACAGGAGGUCAGAGGACUGGGGCGUCGCUCUCGGGGUGCUUCCCUGUGUGGUGGUGCCCUACACCACCAACCCCAGGCCACGUCCUGCAGCCCUGCAUGGGGUCCAGGGCCGGUCAUGCCGCCCGGCAGAGACCAGCUCUAACCCUAACCCUUCUUUUUGAAAUACCAUAUGCUUGUAUGCUGGCUUCCCACGGGUAACCCAACACAGGCAUCAAAGACUGGUUUAGGAGACGGUCAGAAAUUUGUCAGAUUCUGUGUGAGGCCAUCAGACACAGGAGCCAUCUUUCAAGAAUUUGAUCCGCAGGCCUUCCCUUUAAGGGGAAUUGCCCCUUUGUCCCCUGUGCUGCUGUCUUGCUGUUCCCAUUGUGGAAGUGGACCAGGCUGACCUGGGGUGUGACCUUUUGUGCCCCCGCACAGCUUCACCUGCCCGGGUGUCCUGCUGCCACGCCUCACUUCUCCUGUUUCCCUCUCAAGGUUCCCAGGCUGGUGCACCACACGCACGACUGGAAGUGUGUCCCCAGCUGCAGCCAGGGAGGGGCUCGGGCCUUGGAAAAGCCCAGGGUUGACUCAAGGUUUCCUUUUCUGCUUCUGUUCUGACGUCUUUCACCGCAGGUUCCUCCGGUUCUGUUCUCACACCUGCACUCCUCUCCUGCCUGCUGAGCUUGGGCUCUGCUGGGGCUGGUGUGGGGCCUGCCCUCCGGGUCCCUUCUGCCUCUCCUGUGUCCUUCCCCCUCCCCACCUCCCCUCCCCCAUCCUCUCCU